GACUUAAUGUCACGGUACCCAAUUUUCUGCCCC
rnacentral:misc_RNA from 1 species